UACGGAAGGCAGCAGUGGGGAAUAUUGCACAAUGGGCGCAAGCCUGAUGCAGCCAUGCCGCGUGUAUGAAGAAGGCCUUCGGGUUGUAAAGUACUUUCAGUCGUGAGGAAGGUGUUAAGGUUAAUAACCUUAGCAAUUGACGUUAGCGACAGAAGAAGCACCGGCUAACUCCGUGCCAGCAGCCGCGGUAAUACGGAGGGUGCGAGCGUUAAUCGGAAUUACUGGGCGUAAAGGGCACGCAGGCGGUUAAUUAAGUUGGAUGUGAAAUCCCCGGGCUUAACCUGGGAAUGGCAUUCAAGACUGGUUAGCUAGAGUCUUGUAGAGGGGGUAGAAUUCCGAUGUGUAGCGGUGAAAUGCGUAGAGAUGUGGAGGAAUACCGGUGGCGAAGGCGGCCCCUGGGACAAAGGCUGACGCUCAUGUGCGAAAGCGUGGGGAGCAAACG
rnacentral:rRNA from 1 species